CACUGUCUCACCUGCUCCGUGGGAAAUCAGCCUGGCAGACGGGAUGCCGCUCCUGAAAGCAGUCCUCCUCUCCUGCCUCUGGGCUUUUGGAUUGGGGCAGUUGGAGCAACCUGAAAUAGUCAUUUCCAGAGCAGCAGAUACGAGUGCCAGCAUACCUUGUAAGGCAUCUAUCUCAGGUUUUGGAAGUACAGUAAUAUUCUGGUACCGACAGAAACCAAAUGAAGGCUUAACAUACCUCUUGUAUGUUAGGGUUAGCACUAAUAAAGUUAACUUUGGUGGAAAGAAGAACAAAUUUGAGGCAAGUAAAAAUUCUGGAGCUUCCACUUCAACCUUGAAAAUAAACUUCUUAGAGAAAGGAGAUGAGGCCAGGUACUACUGUGCUUACUGGACCGGUAGUGGAGGAUAUGAUAAGAAAAUCUUCGGUGGAGGAACGAAACUGAUUGUGACAGAUAAAGUCUUCGCAGGAGACAUUUCCCCCAGACCCACUAUUUUUCUUCCUUCAGUGGCUGAAACGCAUUUCCAUAAGGCUGGGACAUAUCUCUGUCUCCUGGAGAAUUUUUUUCCUGAUGUUAUUAAGGUAUAUUGGAAAGAAAAGGAUGGGAGUGCGGUUCUAGAAUCCUAUCAGGGAGACACCAUGAAGACCAAUGACACCUAUAUGAAGUUCAGCUGGUUAACUGUGACUGGGGACUCAAUGGAUAAAGAGCACAAAUGCAUUGUUACUCACCAGAAUAAUAAAGGAGGCAUUGAUCAAGAGAUUCUGUUUCCUCCCAUAGGAAAAGUUGGCAACAAUAGCAAUUCCACAGAAGCAGUUCUGAAAGAAGAAGAUGUUGUUGGUGUUACCGUAGAUCCUGAAGCUUUCCUGAAAGGCAAAGAUGUUGUCAAUACGACUGAUCCUGAAGCUCUGCGGAAAGGUGAAAAUGGUUUGCUGAGCCUGCAGCUCGCCAGCACAUCUGCCUACUAUACUUAUUUCCUGCUGCUGCUCAAGAGCGCCCUCCAUGGGACCUUCCUCACUUUCUGUCUAUGCAGAAGAUCAGCUGUCUGCGGGUACCCGAAGAGCACCGGAGAAACGGAGACAUGCGGGUCUAUGGUGUCUCCACUGUUUCCUCUCCCCAGCUGCAUCUCCUGAGGGUCUGCUAGGCUUGCUGAGAUUAGGCUCCUGAAGGCCACGUGUACACUAUUCUGUCAAUAUACAGUAAGGGUUUCCCAACCAGCAGGGAAACUGCACAAUUUCACGUUGUCACAAAACAUGGCACAGCCCAAGGUGCCUGAGCCCCGUCCCUCCACAGUCUCCAUAGCCCCUCCAGCCAGAUCAGGUCCUGACCGCCUCGGUGUCCAUAGCUCACCACUUUAGGUCAGGGCCUCUGGGACCAUGGAACAGGUAACCUCUGGAAGUCACCACUCUACCCACCCUGCCACAGCCUUCUUUGCUAUUCAACUGUGUUUUGAUACUAAUAAUAAAUGUUUUCAAAAUUCAA